rnacentral:rRNA from 1 species
UACGAAGGGGGCUAGCGUUGUUCGGAAUUACUGGGCGUAAAGCGCACGUAGGCGGAUAUUUAAGUCAGGGGUGAAAUCCCAGAGCUCAACUCUGGAACUGCCUUUGAUACUGGGUAUCUCGAGUAUGGAAGAGGUGAGUGGAAUUCCGAGUGUAGAGGUGAAAUUCGUAGAUAUUCGGAGGAACACCAGUGGCGAAGGCGGCUCACUGGACACGUAUUGACGCUGAGGUACGAAAGCGUGGGGAGCAAACAGG